AUAUCAAUAAGCGGAGGAAAAGAAACUAACAAGGAUUCCCCUAGUAACGGCGAGUGAAGCGGGAAAAGCUCAAAUUUAAAAUCUGGCUGUCUUAGAUAGUCCGAGUUGUAAACUAGAGAAGUGUUUUCUGCGCUGGACUGUGUACAAGUCUCUUGGAAUAGAGCGUCAUAGAGGGUGAGAAUCCCGUCUUUGACACAGACAACCAGGGCUAUAUGAUACACUCUCGAAGAGUCGAGUUGUUUGGGAAUGCAGCUCAAAAUGGGUGGUAAAUUCCAUCUAAAGCUAAAUACAGGCGAGAGACCGAUAGCGAACAAGUACCGUGAGGGAAAGAUGAAAAGCACUUUGGAAAGAGAGUUAAACAGUACGUGAAAUUGCUGAAAGGGAAACGCUUGAAGUCAGUCGCGUUAGUUGAGACUCAGCCUUGCUUUUGCUUGGUGCACUUCUUAGCUGACGGGUCAACAUCAAUUUUGACCGUUGGAUAAAGUCGUUGGGAAUGUGGCAUCUUAGGAUGUGUUAUAGCCCAUUGUCGCAUACAGCGGUUGGGAUUGAGGAACUCAGCACGCCCGCAAGGGACGGGUUUUGACCACGUAUCGUGCUUAGGAUGCUGGCAUAAUGGCUUUAAUCGA
rnacentral:rRNA from 1 species